CAAUAGCGUAUAUUAAAGUUGUUGCGGUUAAAAAGCUCGUAGUUGGAUUUCUGCUGAGAACGACCGGUCCGCCCUUUGGGUGUGUAUCUGGCUCUUUCUUGGCAUCUUCUUGGUGAACGUUGCUGCACUUGACUGUGUGGAGCGCUACCCAGGACUUUUACUUUGAGGAAAUUAGAGUGUUUCAAGCAGGCAUACGCCUUGAAUACAUUAGCAUGGAAUAAUAAGAUAGGACCUCGGUUCUAUUUUGUUGGUUUCUAGAGCUGAGGUAAUGAUUAAUAGGGAUAGUUGGGGGCAUUCGUAUUUAACUGUCAAAGGUGAAAUUCUUGGAUUUGUUAAAGACGGACUACUGCGAAAGCAUUUGCCAAGGAUGUUUNCAUUG
rnacentral:rRNA from 1 species